GAUGAACGCUGGCGGCGUGCCUAAUACAUGCAAGUCGAGCGAACAGACGAGGAGCUUGCUCCUCUGACGUUAGCGGCGGACGGGUGAGUAACACGUGGAUAACCUACCUAUAAGACUGGGAUAACUUCGGGAAACCGGAGCUAAUACCGGAUAAUAUAUUGAACCGCAUGGUUCAAUAGUGAAAGACGGUUUUGCUGUCACUUAUAGAUGGAUCCGCGCCGCAUUAGCUAGUUGGUAAGGUAACGGCUUACCAAGGCAACGAUGCGUAGCCGACCUGAGAGGGUGAUCGGCCACACUGGAACUGAGACACGGUCCAGACUCCUACGGGAGGCAGCAGUAGGGAAUCUUCCGCAAUGGGCGAAAGCUUGACGGAGCAACGCCGCGUGAGUGAUGAAGGUCUUCGGAUCGUAAAACUCUGUUAUUAGGGAAGAACAAAUGUGUAAGUAACUAUGCACGUCUUGACGGUUCCUAAUCAGAAAGCCACGGCUAACUACGUG
rnacentral:rRNA from 1 species